GACGAACGCUGGCGGCGUGCCUAAUACAUGCAAGUCGAGCGAAGCGGCGGAUGGGUGAGUAACGCGUGGGGAACCUGCACUUAAGCCUGGGAUACCAUUUGGAAACAGAUGCUAAUACCGGAUACUUAAGGAUGGACUUGCGUUGAAUUAGCUAGUUGGUAAGGUAACGGCUUACCAAGGCGAUGAUGCAUAGCCGAGUUGAGAGGAUGAUCAGCCACAUUGGGACUGAGAAACGGCCCAAACGCCUACGGGAGGCAGCAGUAGGGAAUCUUCCACAAUGGACGAAAGUCUGAUGGAGCAACGCCGCGUGAGUGAAGAAGGUUUUCGGAUCGUAAAGCUCUGUUGUUGGUGAAGCGGUAAUCAACCAAAAAGUCACGGCUAACUACGUGCCAGCAGCCGCGGUAAUUC
rnacentral:rRNA from 1 species